rnacentral:rRNA from 1 species
UACGUAGGGUGCAAGCGUUGUCCGGAAUUAUUGGGCGUAAAGAGCUCGUAGGCGGUCUGUCGCGUCUGCUGUGAAACUCAGGGCUUAACCCUGAGCUUGCAGUGGGUACGGGCAGACUAGGAGUGCGGUAGGGAGACUGGAAUUCCGUGGUGAUAGCGGUGAAAUGCGCAGAUAUCAGGAGGAACACCGGUGGCGAAGGCGGGUCUCUGGGC